rnacentral:rRNA from 1 species
GACGAACGCUGGCGGCGUGCCUAAUACAUGCAAGUAGAACGCACAGUUUAUACCGUAGCUUGCUACACCAUAGACUGUGAGUUGCGAACGGGUGAGUAACGCGUAGGUAACCUGCCUGGUAGCGGGGGAUAACUAUUGGAAACGAUAGCUAAUACCGCAUAAUAUUAAUUAUUGCAUGAUAAUUAAUUGAAAGGUGCAAUUGCACCACUACCAGAUGGACCUGCGUUGUAUUAGCUAGUAGGUGAGGUAACGGCUCACCUAGGCGACGAUACAUAGCCGACCUGGGAGGGUGAUCGGCCACACUGGGACUGAGACACGGCCCAGACUCCUACGGGAGGCAGCAGUAGGGAAUCUUCGGCAAUAGACGAAAGUCUGACCGAGCAACGCCGCGUGAGUGAAGAAGGUUUUCGGAUCGUAAAGCUCUGUUGUAAGAGAAGAACGGGUGUGAGAGUGGAAAGUGCACACUGUGACGGUAUCUUACCAGAAAGGGACGGCUAACUACGUG